GUUAGAUUUUAUAUAUAUACAGGAAGUAUACUGCUUAGGAUCAAAUCACACAAUGCCACUGAAUGUUAGAUCUCAUCAACUAAUUAGACUUACGCCUGGAUAAGAUUUGGAUGGGGGACAACCUGUGUAACAGAUGCCUGAGGCUGCAUAUUUAUAAUGUGGGCUGCAGAGGGCAGAAUGUCACACGCCUUUAUUAUGCUGUACAUUCAUGCUCCCUCAUCAUACGUUCACUAAACCUCACUGAAGAGCAUUAUGAAGGAUGGUAAAAUAACCCCCCCAAUGCAGACACCAUCGGGAGGCUUUAAUUAAGCAGUGUAUUGACAAAGAGCUUGACGUUAUUUAGUAUCACUUUCCAGUAACUUAUUUGUAAUGCAGAUUGAAAGUAUUGUCUGAAGGUUGCUUAUAACAUUUUACAAGGUUCAACUGGAAAUGCAUGAGUAAUCUGCAUUCUGUCAACAUCCAUCCCUGGAUUUUUCAUUCAAAGUGACACGGAAACCCCCGGGAGAGGAAAAGCCAACAAAGCCAGCUCCUGAAGAGAGUGGCGCUCCUCCUCAAGAACCAACUGCACCGAAGGAUAAUACACCCCCACGUCCAACCUCCGGCAACAAGGAGCCAGAACCUUCACCCUCAGGAGGGCCAGGUGUGUUUCGUUUGCAAGUUAUUUUAAUGUACAUAUGUUUAUACCGGCCAUAUAGUUCUUACGAUCAAAUAACGCAGAAUGCGCAUACAUUUCUCAGAUCUCAGAAAUGAAAUAGGGUUGUUCUAGAAGUCAGGAAUGGUUGCCGACAUCCGUAAUAUGCGUUAAAGAUUGCAUGUUAUAGGCUGCAGAGGGCAGGAUACCACAUUCAUUUAUUUUGCUGUACUUACAUGUCCCCAAGUCAAUGCAAUGUACAUUCUGACAACACCCAAUCCCUGGCUUUUCUUUCAAAGAAACACCGAAACCCCCGGUAGAGGAAAAGCCAACAAAGACAUCUCCUGAAGAGAGUGGCGCUCCGCCUCAAGAACCAACUGCACCGAAGGACAAGACACCCCCACCUCCAACCUCCGGCAUCAAGGAGCCAGAACCGUCACCCUCAGGAGGGCCAGAGGAAAAGCCAAGAAAGCCAUCUCCUGAAGAGAGUGGCGCUCCACCUCAAGAACCAACUGAACCGAAGGACAGGACACCCGCACCUCCAACCUCCGGCAUCAAGGAGCCAGAACCCUCACUCUCAGGAGGGCCAGGUGUGUUCAUUUUGUUAUAUUAUAUAUACAGGAAGUAUACUGCUUAGGAUCAAAGCAAAUAAUGUGACUUAAUUUGUUAGAUCUCAACUAAUUAGACUUGCGCCUGGAUGAGAUUUGGAUGGGGGACAAUCUGUGUAACAGAUGCCAUCAGCUGCAUCUUUAUAAUGUGGACUACAGAGGGCAGAAUGCCACACCUCUUUAUUGUGCUGUACGUUCAUGCUCCCUCAUCACACGUUCACUAAACCGCACUGAAGCGCAUGAUGAACGAUGGUCAAAUAACCCCCCCAAAGCAGACACCAUGGGGAGGCUUUAAUUAAGCAGUGUCUUGACAAAGAGCUUGACGUUAUUUAGUAUCACUUUCCAGUAACUUAUAUGUAAUGCAGAUUGAAAUUAUUGUCAGAAGGUUCCUUAUAACAUUUUACAAGGUUCAACUGGAAAUGCAUGAGUAAUCUGCAUUCUGUCAACAUCCAUCCCUGGAUUUUUAAUUCAAAGUGACACGGAAACCUCCGGAAGAGGAAAAGCCAGCAAAGCCAGCUCCUGAAGAGAGUGGCGCUCCGCCUCAAGAACCAACUGCACCGAAGGACAAGACACCCCCACCUCCAACCUCCGGCAACAAGGAGCCAGAACCUUCACCCUCAGGAGGGCCAGAAACACCGAAAUCCCCGGUAGAGGAAAAGCCAACAAAGCCAGCUCCAGCAGAGAGUGGCGCUCCGCCUCAAGAGCCAACUGCACCAAAGGACAAGACACCCCCACCUCCAACCUCCGGCAGCAAGGAGCCAGAACCAUCACCCUCAGGAGGGCCAGGUGUGUUAAUUUUGUAGGAUUAUAUAUACAGGAAGUAUACUGCUUAGGAUCAAAUCACACAAUGUGACUUAAUUUGUUAGAUCUCAACUAUUUAGUAUUGCGCCUGGAUGAGAUUUGGAUGGGGGACAACCUGGGUAACAGAUGCCAUCAGCUGCAUAUUUAUUACGUGGACUACAGAGGGUAGAAUGCCACACCUCUUUAUUGUGCUGUACGUCCAUGCUCUCUCAUCCCACGUUCACUAAACCGCCAUGAAAAGCAUGAUUAAGGAUGGUCACACAACCCCCCCAAUCCAGACACCGUUGGGGGGCUUUAAUUUAGCAGUGUAUUUGGCAAAGAGCUGUACAUUAUUUAGUAUCACUUUACAGUAACUUAUUCGAAAUUCAGAAUAAUGUAUUGUCUGAAGGUUGCUUACAACAUUUUACAAGGUUAAACUCAGAAUGCUUGAGAAAUCUGCAUUCCCUUAACAUCCAUCCGUGGAUUUUUCAU